GACAGAGGGUGCAAACGUUGUUCGGAAUUACUGGGCGUAAAGCGCGUGUAGGCGGUCGGGCAAGUCGGAUGUGAAAGCCCAGGGCUCAACCCUGGAAGUGCACUCGAUACUGCUCGGCUAGAGUCCCGGAGAGGAUGGUGGAACUCUCGGUGUAGAGGUGAAAUUCGUAGAUAUCGAGAAGAACACCGGUGGCGAAGGCGGCCAUCUGGACGGUGACUGACGCUGAGACGCGAAGCGUGGGGAGCAAACAGG
rnacentral:rRNA from 1 species